UAGCUCAAAUAACGAUAGAUAUUUUUAUUAGCUAUUGUAUUAUUAAUAUCAACAAUAUUGAUUAUAAAAUACAAUAUGUACAAUCACAGUUUUCAUAUCUUUGAAGAAGUUAGUAUCAUUGUUUUACUACCAAGAACUGAAUCAUGGAGGGAAUAUUGGAAUGAGCACUGUUACACAUUUUUUUGAGGAUGGAAUUGCAUUUUUAGAGGGCCAGUUGGCAAUGCAAAUCAAAAGCCUUAGACUCAUGCACAGUGUUUGACCCUAUAAUUGUCACAUUUCUUGGUAUUUAUUCAAAAGUAAUAAGCAUGGAUAUGAUGGAGAAUUUAGCUGCAAAGUUGUUCAUUAUACUGCCAUUUACAAAACAAGAAAUUGGAAGCAACCUAAAUAUCCAAAUAUAAAGUCUAGAUUAAUUAAGUUAUGGAACAAACAUAUAACGUAAUAGUGUGAAGUCAUUAAAAAUAAUGUGAUUGAAAUUUAAUAACAUGCAAAUAUAUUCAUAACAUCUUCAUUAAAAUAACAGCUUACAAAAGUGUAUGUAUUGUUGAUUCCCAAAUUUAUUUUAAAAUAUUUUACCAGAAACACACAAGUUUGAGAGUCUCUAAACCAAAUUGCUAACAGUGAUUAUCUCUGAACAGUAAAAUUAUAAAUUUUCUCAUUUCAGGUGUUUUUGGUCGCACAUAACCACAAAACCAAUUCAAAUUGGCUUAAAAAUAAAAGCAGUGUAUUGCCUCAUGAAAUAGAAACCCUUAGACUAGAGUGGCUUUCUGGCACAGUUGCAUCAGGAUGCCUGUUCUCUUCCUCUGAGAUGCUCCCGGCUCUGCCUCCUCUUCUGUACGCAUCUUCAUCCUCAGUAUGGCUUGCUUCCUGAAGCGCUUAGCAGCUGGGGUUCUAGGCCACACAUCUGCACACCACACAGGGCACUUUAGCUUAGCCUUGACCAUAAAGAGGAGUUUUGCAUUUCAUCUGACUUGGCCAACCAGAGCCAGACAUCGGUCAGAGGAACACCCAGAACUCAAUGGUUAUGUUGCUUGGACAUUGCUGUCCAUCCCUGGGUCAGUCAAUAUAGCAAAAGGAGCACCAAGCUGAUCUGUUUACUUCAGAGACAACGCUGGAGGAGGAAUGAGGUCAAUCUCAUGCAGAUUCUGUGGUUGCCACAUGAUGAGGAGAGAUGGAACAGAUGUUGGAGGAGCAUUGGUGGAGACGUGGGGGCCUCUGCAGUAUGGCGUUGGGGUAUGCUUAAUGGGGUUGGGAAGUGUGCAUGGACCAGGACUGUGUUGAUGGUGUGCAUGGUCCUGUGGAGAGUGACAGAAGACCUGUUCUCCACAAAUAGCCACAAAAAGGAUCAGCUCCAGCUUCCAAAGCCUGAAGCAAUUGGGUUCUCCUGAGCCUAGGGCCAGCCCCACUCAGCUGCACUCCUAAGAGAACUGAC
rnacentral:lncRNA from 1 species